UUCACUCAAUACUGUAAGUCGCUCUGGGUAAGAGCAUCUGCUAAAUUAUGUAAA
rfam:Salmo salar isolate Sally breed double haploid chromosome ssa24, whole genome shotgun sequence.